rnacentral:rRNA from 1 species
AUUGAACGCUGGCGGCAGGCCUAACACAUGCAAGUCGAGCGGAUGAAGGGAGCUUGCUCCUGGAUUCAGCGGCGGACGGGUGAGUAAUGCCUAGGAAUCUGCCUGGUAGUGGGGGAUAACGUCCGGAAACGGGCGCUAAUACCGCAUACGUCCUGAGGGAGAAAGUGGGGGAUCUUCGGACCUCACGCUAUCAGAUGAGCCUAGGUCGGAUUAGCUAGUUGGUGGGGUAAAGGCCUACCAAGGCGACGAUCCGUAACUGGUCUGAGAGGAUGAGCAGUCACACUGGAACUGAGACACGGUCCAGACGCCUACGGGAGGCAGCAGUGGGGAAUAUUGGACAAUGGGCGAAAGCCUGAUCCAGCCAUGCCGCGUGUGUGAAGAAGGUCUUCGGAUUGUAAAGCACUUUAAGUGGGGAGGAAGGGCAGUAAGUUAAUACCUUGCUGUUUUGACGUUACCAACAGAAUAAGCACCGGCUAACUUCGUG